GCGCUGGGUGGUCGGCCCACCCAACGCGGGCCGACCUUCGGACACGCCGGCCAGGCUGUCUCCCCACAUUGCAUAACAGCCUGCCGUGCCGCAGCUCUCUGUCGACGGAGGUCCCUUUCUGUCCACUCUCCCCUGGGGGACCCGGAUCCUAGCCAGACUCGCUCCGUGACCCUGGGACUCCCAUUUGUCCGUCCGCAAGGUGAGGGCUCGACUGGUCAUCAUUUGUUCAUUUGUUCAUCCCACAAAUAUUCCUUUAGUCCUACAGUGGGCCAGGCGAUGGCAGGAGGGGCAGGGGGCCCACGACAUUCUAAGAUUAGAGUCCUGGGUCAUAAGGGUCACGCCAUUUUGAGGAAUACCUCCGGAACCCAUUCGAGAAGAUUGAAUAGAUUUCCGGAGCUCGAGGUGAAGAUGAUACAGGUGUAUGGACCCGCAGCCCCGAAGGCAGCUGGAGGGUCCUGACCCUCAAGUCCCUUUUCACCCCACACUCACCUGCCCGCCCUGGGCUUCGGCUCCUCCAAGGCAGCUGUGAGGACCUGCUAGAGGCUGGCCCACUGCCCCACCCCAAGGCUCCAGGGCCCCAGGGGCCCCCCACCGGGAUCCAAGCCAAGCCCCUCCCCCCAACGGACUCCAACUCCACCAGCAGUUUCUUCCUAAAAAGAGGUUUUUUAUUGCCUUUGGUCCACAGUUGACAUUUCACAUUAUCUCUUGGUCCCAGGGCUCCUGGAUGGGGGCCAGUCCCCGGGGAGGACCUCGGGGUGGGGAUCUCUGUGCAGUACUUGGCAGAGGAGAGGAAUGGGGACAAGUACGGGAAGGUGGGUGGGGGGCUGGCUUUGCCUCGACCACUCAGAACUCUAUUGUCCUGCCUGGGCCUCAGUUUCUCCACGACCCCUGGACAGGGCCAGAGAAAUCCAGUUCCUCACAAGACCUCAAAUAUUUUGGACUGCGGCUUGGCCCUCUCCCUGCGGCUGGGACCUUCUUCCUUCCCAGCAUCCCCUUCCACCAUCCCCCCACCAUGGCCCUGCAAAAAAAAAAAAA